rnacentral:lncRNA from 1 species
GACAUAUGUUUUUUUCUUUUUUUAAUCACCUAUGUGAUGUGCCUUUGUUCGCAUGUGUGUGCAUCCUGGCCCUGCCAAAAGUGGGGAUUGUAACAUAUCACUAAACUUAGUACCAAGGUGUUAUGAUUCUCCUUGUUUGCCUGGGCCCUGCAUAUAUUAGGUACUGUGACGUAUGGCUGAGACAAACACCUAGGGCACGAGAGCCUCCUGCCUGGGUCCUGCCCACAAGGAACCUUUUGGCUUAUCUCUGCAUCCAUGAACUAGGAGAUGUGACUCUUCUUUUCUGUCUGGGUUCUGCAAAAACAAGUGAUUGUGACAUAUCAUCAAACCCAGCAACUAGACGAUGUGAUUUUUCUUCCCUGCUUGAGCCCUGGAUAUGCUGUGUAUUGUGAUAUAUGGCUGGGUCCAACAUCAAGGAGAGAUUAUGACAUAUCUCUGGAACCAGAACCUUAGUGAUGUGACUCUUGUCUCCUGCUGAAGCCAUGCCCACACAAGGGAAAGUGACUCAUCACUGGACCCAGCACACAGGUGAUGUAAUUCUUCUGCCUUGUUUUUGUACCCAGGAGCCAUUGUAAUCCAUCUCUGGGCCCAUCAUUUAAAUGAUGUGACUAUCCUUUUCUUCCUGAGCCCUAUUCACAGGGAAAAUAGUGACACAUCUGUGGGCUUCUCACCGAAAUGAUGUGACUUUCCUUCCUGGGCUCACCUCUCAAGGGAAUUUUGACAUAUUACUGGACCAAGCACCUAGGUGAUGUGGCUCUGACAAACGAGAAAUUGUGAUGUACCACUGUUCCACACCUAAGAGAUCUGACUCUCUUUUCAUGAGCCCUGCAUUUAUUGUGUAUUGUGACAUAUGGCUUGGUCCAACGCCUAGGUGAUGUGACUCUCUACUUCUUCCUCGGCCAUGCCAAAGAAGAGGAUUGUGACAUAUCACUGGAUCCAGCACUUAGGUGAUGUAAAUCUUUUCUUUUGCUGAGCCAUGCAUAUUUUUGGUAUUGUGACAUGUAGCUGGACCGAACACCUACAGGACUGGAUCAGAGGCUACUUAAUAAGCCCUGCCCAUAGGCGGCCUUGUGACAUAUGUCUGCAUCUAUCACCAAAGUGAUGUGACUCUUUUUCUGCCUGCAUCCUGCACAUAGAGAAGAUUGUGACAUAUCGCUGGGCCCAGUAACCAGGUGAUGUGUCUUUUCUGGCAGGUCUUUUCCCACAGGGAGCAUUGUAAAAUAUCACUGGGCUCGGCCACCAGGUUAUGUGACCCUUCUGCCUGUGCCCUGCUUCCUGGAAAUGUGACAUUCCUCAUACAGCACCCAGGUGAUGUGACUCUUCUGCUCAUUUUCUACUUAUAGUUGGGAUUGUGACAAAUAUCCUGGCCCAACUCAUAGGUGCUAUGAUGAUUCCCGUACCUGGAAUCAGCCAAUAGGGAGAUAGUGUCUCUUGUAUUGUAGCCUAGGGAAACAAGUAAGAUCCUGGGCCUCCUCUUUGUAUGAAUGUCAUAAAGAGUUAU